rnacentral:rRNA from 1 species
AUUGAACGCUGGCGGCAUGCCUUACACAUGCAAGUCGAACGGCAGCACGGGAGCAAUCCUGGUGGCGAGUGGCGAACGGGUGAGUAAUAUAUCGGAACGUACCCAGUCGUGGGGAUAACGUAGCGAAAGCUACGCUAAUACCGCAUACGAUCUAUGGAUGAAAGCGGGGGAUCGCAAGACCUCGCGCGAUUGGAGCGGCCGAUAUCAGAUUAGGUAGUUGGUGAGGUAAAGGCUCACCAAGCCGACGAUCUGUAGCUGGUCUGAGAGGACGACCAGCCACACUGGGACUGAGACACGGCCCAGACUCCUACGGGAGGCAGCAGUGGGGAAUUUUGGACAAUGGGACGCAAGCCUGAUCCAGCAAUGCCGCGUGCAGGAUGAAGGCCUUCGGUUGUAACGUGACUUUGUACGGUAACGAAACGGUAGGAGCGUCU